AGACCUCUCUCCUGACAGGGUGAUCGUGGUGAGACUGGUGCUGUGGGAGCUCCUGGAGCCCCUGGGCCCCCUGGCUCUCCUGGCCCCGCUGGUCCAACUGGCAAGCAAGGAGACAGAGGAGAAGCUGGUGCACAAGGCCCCAUGGGACCCUCAGGACCAGCUGGAGCCCGGGGAAUCCAGGGUCCUCAAGGCCCCCGAGGUGACAAAGGAGAGGCUGGAGAGCCUGGCGAGAGAGGCCUGAAGGGACACCGUGGCUUCACUGGUCUGCAGGGUCUGCCCGGCCCUCCUGGUCCUUCUGGAGACCAAGGUGCUUCUGGUCCUGCUGGUCCUUCUGGCCCUAGAGGUCCUCCUGGCCCCGUCGGUCCCUCUGGCAAAGAUGGUGCUAAUGGAAUCCCUGGCCCCAUUGGGCCUCCUGGUCCCCGUGGACGAUCAGGCGAAACCGGCCCUGCUGGUCCUCCCGGAAAUCCUGGACCCCCUGGUCCUCCAGGUCCCCCUGGCCCUGGCAUCGACAUGUCCGCCUUUGCUGGCUUAGGCCCGAGAGAGAAGGGCCCUGACCCCCUGCAGUACAUGCGGGCUGACCAGGCAGCUGGUGGCCUGAGACAGCAUGAUGCCGAGGUGGAUGCCACACUCAAGUCCCUCAACAACCAGAUUGAGAGCAUCCGCAGCCCCGAGGGCUCCCGCAAGAACCCUGCUCGCACCUGCA
rnacentral:sRNA from 1 species